rnacentral:rRNA from 1 species
UACGAAGGGAGCUAGCGUUGUUCGGAAUCACUGGGCGUAAAGCGCACGUAGGCGGACGUGUCAGUCAGGGGUGAAAUCCCGGAGCUCAACUUCGGAACUGCCUUUGAUACAGCACGUCUUGAGUCCGGAAGAGGUGGGUGGAAUUCCUAGUGUAGAGGUGAAAUUCGUAGAUAUUAGGAAGAACACCGGUGGCGAAGGCGGCCCACUGGUCCGGUACUGACGCUGAGGUGCGAAAGCGUGGGGAGCAAACAGGA